ACCUCCAUCUCCACCAUAACCUUCAUGACCUCCGUAACUGCCUGCGAAGCCGGCAUUUACGGUUGCGAUAGCCACUAAGAAUGAUACACACAACUGAAAAGAAAUAAUGAAAUUAGCGGCUGUAUUUUGUAUGAUUUUAUCUGAGUGAUUCAAUUUGGUUUGGAAAUUAUUUCACAAAGUGCGAACUAGGUAUUACUGAACGAGAAACAUGGAAUGAGAUUAAUAUAUCAGUUCAUAUUGCGCCGUUUUGAAAAGCUGCCUUGACUGAUAUUAUAACUAGAUUUUUGAAAUACUAAAUGGAGUAGGAGAUAUUCCAUUGUUGAAUUAUAUAUAUAUAUAUAUGUGUAUCAGCCAUUAAAAACGGACUCUAUAACUUUUUUAUAGAACAGCAUUAGAUAUUAUAAAUUAACAAUAAUUUCACAUUUAAAUAAAGAAAGCAGAUUGGUGAAAGUGAAGUAAACCAUGAGAUUAAUUUAAUCGAGUUAGCAACAAAAAAAUUUGUGUACGGAGGCAAAUUCAGGAAGCGAAGAAUAUGAAAACAAAAUGAAAGUCAACCAAUUACCAGACGAAUCGUACAAAUACAUUAUUAAUAUCAAAUUUCUAAUUAUUUGUGAAUAUGAACGGAAGUGUAGGAAAGGACGAGAUGUAACAGUUAAUUUUUGAGAGUAUCGACUUGGAGGAAGAUAUUUAUUAUGAGAAUUCUCUGAUGAAAAAUAUUCAUCAUGAAAGUCAGAAAUACCUUCAUUUGAAAGCAAAAACGUAAAUGUGGAAAAAAUACAAUUGAAUAAUCUCUGAACAAAUGUGGAAAAUAUUUCUCGACCAACAAGAUAUUUCGUUUGUCAUUUUAAAUGAAAAAAAAAAUGUUGAUUGCAGGAAAUAUGCGAACAUAUACACUAUACUUAUUUCAAUUCAACAAUUGAAUCAAGAUGGAAGUUUUUAAUUAAAAAGUUUAUAAGUUAUAAAAGUUUAUAAAUAUUUGUGUCCCAUCUCUAAUAUUAAAAUGCAUCGCUUAUUUAACUUCACACUGAUUGCAGUAGAUGCCUUUGAUGUUUCUUUGUUCUUGCUUUGAAAUUGUAAAUGAAAUGUUCAGUAAAAUUGUCACUACUCUGAUAAGUUUUAAUUGAUUCGGUUUUAAUUGAGAGACCGCAUGAGAUUUGUUUCUGUCGGUUUAUAACUUAUUUUGACGAAGGCAAAUUUGGGAACUAUGAAAAGAAAUAACCAAAAGUAUUUUAUUUUUGAAUAUGCAUCUGACCCCAAAAGAGUUCAACAAACUAUCACAAAGACUUCGAUACACAUUUUUCAAGCGUACUUGUGAAAAAGUCAGCAAAAAGUGGAGAUAAACAUUAAAAGAUCAAGUUACAGCGAGAUUUAUUAGACGUUUGUAGUGAAUUUCUAUUAACCAUUAAAUCGACUUUUAAAAAAUUGUAUCGUUUCCUAUAACUUCUUGCUCUGUAUCUUCUAGAUGGUUUUAUCUAUAAAGUUGACAAAUCCGUAAUUAUAAACUAUAUUGAACCAAAUAUUAAUCGUAAAUAACCAUGUUAUACAGAUGAACAAAACCUUUGGAAAUAUUUCAAAGAAAUUUCUUCAAAGAAUAACAAAUUUUUCGGCCCUACGAAUUAGUGUCAUCUUUGACCAAUAAAGAUACCUACGGUAUGAAGCAUCAUGCGACCGUCAGAUUGUGUGAUGAAAUCAAUAAGUACAAAAUAUAUGGUAGCUCUUAUGGAAUUUUUUACGAAGCAUUGGUUGAUCCAGGAAAUUAUUUCUGGGUACCUGACAGAUUCAUUCAAAUUCCGAGAAUUUGAGGAGGAGUAGCAAAAUGGCACAUUUAAAGAAUGUUUCUUCUAAUAUUUGUUUGCUUAAUGAAACUGGAGAUAAUGGAAGAUAUAUUGACACCGUAAGAAUUUAUAGAGAACUUGGUGGAAGAAUACUGAAUAUCAACAAGCAAUUGCAGCUCUUGAUAGAGGAAAUUUAACAGAGGAGUAGCUAGAAGAGAUAUUUAACAUCAACAUAAUACUUGCUAAAAAAAUCUUAUAAUCUAGAUAAAUGUUUCAUUAUUACAACUCAUUUAACACUUUAAAAUUUUGCUUUGACGUAAUAAACAGGUAAUAAUUGAAAAAA